GAUGAACGCUAGCGGCAGGCCUAACACAUGCAAGUCGAGGGGCAACGAGAUGGUAGCGAUACCAUUGUCGGCGACCGGCGAACGGGUGCGUAACGCGUGAACAACUUGCCGGACACAGGGGGAUAAUCGUCGCGCAAACGUCGUCUAAUAUCCCAUAACAUUGACAUGGGCAUCCAUGUUGAUUGAAAGCAAUUAUGCGGUGUCUGAUAGGUUCGCGUGACAUUAGCUAGUCGGUGGGGCAACGGCCCACCGAGGCGACGAUGUCUAGGGGUUCUGAGAGGAAGGCCCCCCACACUGGGACUGAGACACGGCCCAGACUCCUACGGGAGGCAGCAGUGAGGGAUAUUGGACAAUGGGCGGAAGCCUGAUCCAGCCAUGCCGCGUGAAGGACUAAGGCCCUAUGGGUCGUAAACUUCUUUUGACGCAGAGCAAUAAGGGACACGUGUGUUCCGAUGAGAGUAUGCGUCGAAUAAGCAUCGGCUAACUCCGUGCCAGCAGCCGCGGUAAUACGGAGGAUGCGAGCGUUAUCCGGAUUUAUUGGGUUUAAAGGGUGCGUAGGCUGUCGGUUAAGUCAGCGGUGAAAUCAGCACGCUUAACGUGUUGUUUGCCGUUGAAACUGUCCGUCUUGAAUGCGCUCGUCGUGGGAGGAAUGUGUGGUGUAGCGGUGAAAUGCAUAGAUAUCACACAGAACACCGAUUGCGAAGGCAUCUCACGAGAGCGUUAUUGACGCUGAUGCACGAAAGCGCGGGUAUCGAACAGGAUUAGAUACCCUGGUAGUCCGCGCCGUAAACGAUGAUGACUAACUGUUGGUUCCAAUGGGAUCAGUGGUCAAGCGAAAGCGUUAAGUCAUCCACCUGGGGAGUACGGCCGCAAGGCUGAAACUCAAAGGAAUUGACGGGGGCCCGCACAAGCGGAGGAACAUGUGGUUUAAUUCGAUGAUACGCGAGGAACCUUACCCGGGCUCGAACGGCGGAUGAAUAUGUUUGAGAGAGCAUAGUCGCAAGACAUCCGUCGAGGUGCUGCAUGGGUGUCGUCAGCUCGUGCCGUGAGGUGUCGGCUAAAGUGCCAUAACGAGCGCCACCCUGCCCGUCAGUUG
rnacentral:rRNA from 1 species